rnacentral:lncRNA from 1 species
GUUUAUAAUAUACGUUUAAUCAAUUGCGUUAGGGACAAGAGCCCACGAGUUGGCAAUACGAUGUAUUAUCCUGUAUCACGAUUUGACGCGUCUCUCAUUCCCUUUCAAGUCUCUUUCUCCAUUUUUCUUUAUCAAAAUAAACAAUAUCUGGAGAUCAGAAAAGACAAACUACUGCUGACCUGCGUUACUGUCCUAAAAAUUACAUUUAAUACUGAAAAAACAGCGUCAAACGAAAUAUUUAUGCGAAUUUAAGAAGGGAAUAGGAAAAUACCAAUGGAUAUAAUUCUAACAGUUCCUUCUACAAAUUCUGUUUUCCUUCUCGAAUUAUCGAUAUAAUGUGCAUUGUCGUUCUGUCGGUUUUAUAAUAGCAGCUUUUUUAUUUCAACUAGUUUUAUGUAGUGGCAUUAUGCAUUAACACUCGAUUUUACUCUGUACACUAGCUGUCUUUCAAAAAACAUCAACUUAACAUAUUAUACACGCCGAUUAAAGAUUCUGAUAGCUUAAUUUUCUGGUAAAUCUUGUAUAAUUCCAUUCUGUUUUAUAUAACUAAUAGUUGCGAAACGAAAUAAAUAUAUUUCAGUGAACAAAAGAAAAUUUAUAUUGCACCUGAUCCUGUCUGUUUCAAAAAAUAAAUCGCGCUCCUAUUAACCUUCCUACCGCGAAUUAUAAGGAAACCAUAAGGAAACGGCUGAUCGCGAAAUUCACGCGUCAGUCAGCUAUCUACACGUUAAAUGCAACGAACUUGGGAAUUCUACGAAUGCCUAAUUGUUUCCUGCUACUUGCAAUACAUUCUAGAACUGGCAAUACAUAUCACCAGCAUUUCGUCAUUUUUCAAAUUUAACAACAAAUAUAGAGACCUUCAAUUAUUACGUAAUACUUCAACAAUUUGGAAAACGUUUUCUUCCGAUACCAUCGAUCAUAUAUACUAUUACAUAUCAAUUGAUAAUUUUAAUUUAAAUUGUUUUCAACGAAUGACAAAUUAAUUGUCAAUUUUUAAUUUCCUAGCUACUACUCCCUUGACAACUACGGUUAUGCCGAACACCACAGUACCUCCUGCAACAAGUAAGUG